rnacentral:rRNA from 2 species
GGUCCUGAAGGAACGUUGAAGACGACGACGUUGAUAGGCCGGGUGUGUAAGCGCAGCGAUGCGUUGAGCUAACCGGUACUAAUGAACCGUGAGGCUUAACCUUACAACGCCGAAGGUGUUU